UUGCAAAACUCUUCGUACCCUUUCUCCAGUCAGGUUAGGAGUCCCGUUUACUCUGUGGGUUUUCUCAUUGACUGCUCCGUGUUGCCCGUCCCAGUCAGAUGAAACCGUGGUAUCACUUUAAAUCUACAGAUACCCCUUGACCAUCUGUAAAGUGCUUUGCACUCUUGUUGGCUUUGAAAGCACAAAAUUUCACACAUGAACUCCGCCAUAUUAUUUGUGUAUAUGUGUUUGGUGGUAAAUGUCUCCAAUCUGAUGGAUGAAUCCUCUGAGACUGAUGCGAGGACUUUUAGACCUUCAGAUUGCUUUUGUUUUGUUUUGUUUUGUUUUGUUUUGUUUUUUGCAUCCCUAAUAGUGUGUGAGGGGAAAUAAAAGCCAUCUCCAUGCAAAAAUGCUUGCACGACAUUUUGAUAGUUUCUAAAGAUGGAUUCAGUUGUAGGUUGCAUGGGUGUCUCUUACCCCUCCUUACUCCACACCCAGAGAUGCCUCAGAUAAUCACUCCCUCAUCCUGACAAAGGACAAGAUACUACAGCAGAUAGAUCCGAUGCAGCUGCCAUUUUAUGAGAGUCAUGUCCACAGCUGUGUUUGCCCAGAAAGGGGAACGUGCCCAGCAUACUCGUUUGCAGUGUGGCUUUCAUGGGAUGAGACAGGACUUGAGGAUCACAGUCUUUGCAUAUGUCAGGUUUGUUCAGAGGGCCC
rnacentral:lncRNA from 1 species